rnacentral:lncRNA from 1 species
AGGGUGGAAGCCAGGAUGCUGUGCACGCUAGGCAAGCAGUCUACAGUUAAGCUACAACCCCCAGCCCCACCUCUGGAGUUUCAAGAGAUCUCUAGAAGACCUCCAGGGGACAGAGAUCAAGUAGGGCAAAGGUGCAGGGGUGGGGUCUAGUACCUCUGGGUCACUUGCCUGUCACUCUUCGGUGUCAGGUAGACGGAAAGCCAUAGUCGGUGACUCACCGGGUCACUGGGAUCUGGGCUCUGAUUUUAGCAGCAAUUUUCACCUUUUAAGGGAAUCUUUUCCCCCCUUGUACUGGCUGGUUUUGUGUCAACUUGACACAAGCUGGAGUUAUCACAGAAAAAGGAGCCUCCCUGGAGGAAAUGCCUCCAUGAGACCCAGCUGUAAGGCAACUAGUGGUCGAGGGGGAAGAACCGAGCCCAUUGUGGGUGGUGCAGUCCCUGGGCUGGUGGUCCUGGAUUCUAUAAGAAAGCAAGCUGAGCAAGCCAGGGGAAGCAAGCCAGUAAGUAACAUCCUUCCAUGGCCUCUGCAUCAGCUCCUGCUUCCUGACUGCUUGAGUUCCAGUCCUGACUUCCUUUGGUGAUGAAGAACAAUGUAGAAGUGUAAGCUGAAUAAACCCUUUCCUCCCCAA